GUAGAGCCUGGCUGCACCACUCUUAGACCUCAUUUAAGGGCUGACUGCCACUCUGGAAGGUUCUCUGGUUGGUGAUCGCUUUUGUGUGGAGUUUCCCUCGUGAGCCUACAUCUUCAGGAGCAGCUCUCAGUCCUGAUUCAGUCCCUGAUUCCCUUCAGCAUGCAAGCUGUGCUUAGUUCCAAAAUGUGAGUGGCUCAUGGGCUGCCAUUUACCUGCUGGCCAUCGAGUCUCAUCAGGAGCUGUUUUUCACUCAAAGGGAGCAAAUAACAUCAGAUCUGCUGUUUCAUCUUCUUUCCAUCAUGAGGAAUGGAUAGCCUUUGGCAGAGAGUCCUCCAGGACUCUACAGGAGGAUUUCUAGCACAGCCCCUGGAACAGGAUCCUUCAGUGUUGCCCUUGUUGUGGAUGUUCUGGGGAAGAGUAAAUAGAGACAUUUUUUUUCCCUGUCAUGGGAGCUUGCUGAUGUCUUUCUGCUGGAAGAAUGUUGAUGCUGUUUGGUAGAUCUCCUUGAAAAUGCUGGACCGAACACCCUGAGCACCUGGACCAAUUUUAGAAUGCAGUCUGGACUUCUGUGAUAUUCUAUCAAGGUGUUUGAUGAAAAGAAAAAUACUGUAGGAAUGGAAGAGGAGCAGACAGCAAGAGCUCACCUUCAAGCCAGGAAUCCACUCGGCACUGGAAUGGAAUGGAAUCAGAGGACAUGAGAGGACACUGAAGAAUAUGGGAAUGCUAGGAAGAGGGAAAAAUUGCAACUGGCAUUGCUCAGCUGGAGUAGCUACCAUCUGCUUGAAGCUACAUUCAUUCUUUUGAAGCUACGUUAGGUCUCUGCAUGCAACGUCAGUAAAGGCAGCACAACCUAGUCAGUUAAAUCCUUCCUUGGAUUAGGUUUCUAUACAUUUUCCUUGGUGAUAUUGAAAAAAUCCUAAGAGAAAGCUGACAGACCUAUUAUUGCACUGGCACAAGGCAUGGUUAUAAUAUUUCAGUGCUUCCAAAGUCAGCCUCAUCUCUGAAAAUGAGUUACUGCAUAUGUUCGUGACUAAAGAGCACCUCUGUAAGCACCCAAAGUCCUGUGCAAGAUGCAUAGAAUAAAAAAGUCACGAUAAGCCUCCCUUUUCAGUCAGGGAGACUUAGUUCUGUUGGGAACCAGAACUCUACAACCUGUACAGAAAGCUACUGAAGUUAUUUUAAAAAUGGUACAGUUACUAAGGCAGGCUUUGAGACUGCCUGUGUCAAGUACAUAAGGUACUCGGGGUAAAUUUGGUUCUGAUAUAUUAUGAUACAUUUUGCUUUUUGUCUGUUUUCCUUAUGCUCUUUAAAGUGAAGCUGUUUCUGAGGUCAUCAAAAUUGGACAGCAGGAUUUCCCAAUAAAAUAUCUGUUUUAUAAGCAUCAUAUGUGUCAGUGUCCUUGUGUCCGUUCACAGAUGCAUUUUACACCUUGUAUUUUCCUGUUUAAAAAUAGGUAAGUGCAAGCCAUCAGUGGUGCACAAGGAAGCUCUGCUAUGCAGCCAACCAGCUAGCUUGGUGCAGCAUAAGGUGUGGGAAAGAAGUGAAUGUGGCUUGUAGCGACUGAUUGAAGGGGGCAAGGAAGGAGCAUGGCAAACAAUGAAUGCAUGCUGUGUGGAGUGUGCUUAGUCCUGAGAAGUAAGAGAGUGAAAUGCUGCUGAAAUAUUGAUAGGGAGGAUAGACUCUGGAAUGAUUGACGACAUGUGUGUGUGUCUUGGCAAGUUUAAUUGGAUUUGUUGGGGUAGAAGGUGGAAGAAUGUGGUGCAUUUCCUUUU